UACGUAGGGGGCUAGCGUUGUCCGGAAUCAUUGGGCGUAAAGAGCGCGUAGGCGGCCAGAUAAGUCCGGUGUGAAAGUCAAAGGCUCAACCUUUGAAUGCCGCUGGAAACUGUCUGGCUAGAGUCCGGGAGGGGCGAGUGGAAUUCCUGGUGUAGCGGUGAAAUGCGCAGAUAUCAGGAGGAACACCGGUGGCGAAGGCGGAUCUCUGGGCCUUACCUGACGCUCAGGCGCGAAAGCUAGGGGAGCGAACUGG
rnacentral:rRNA from 1 species